rnacentral:rRNA from 1 species
UACAGAGGUCUCAAGCGUUGUUCGGAUUCAUUGGGCGUAAAGGGUGUGUAGGUGGCGCCGUUAGUCGGGUGUGAAAUUUCGGAGCUUAACUCCGAAACUGCAUUCGAUACUGCGGUGCUUGAGGACUGGAGAGGAGACUGGAAUUCAUGGUGUAGCAGUGAAAUGUGUAGAGAUCGGGAGGAACACCGGUGGCGAAGGCGGGUCUCUGGGCAUCUCCUGACGCUGAGGCGCGAAAGCGUGGGGAGCAAACGGG